GCGCAACCGACAGGCUCCGAUUCGCGCCGAACACGCUUAGUACAUCCUCGCUGAAGGCAAGCCCGGGCCCCACCGCCUUCUCUCCGAGGCUGGCGGCCGCCAGCAGGAGGAGUCCGGCUACCGCCCGGGCCGGGGACAUCCUGGCCAGGGCUGCCUUUGAGGGCCCGCGACAGGCUGGCGCACGCAGGAACGCGCUGGGUGCACCGUCGUCAGUGCCCAAGGGCGCGCGGGUCAGGCGGCGGCGCUGGCGGAGUCAGAGGUGGCGCCGGGCGCCCCUUGUCCACGGACGCCUGGAAAAAGCAGCAACCCGCGAUCCUUCGGGCAUUGAAGUGGAGCCCGGCCGGGGGUGGAGGUGAGCGAUAGGCAGACCGGGCCCCCCGGACCUCCUGGAGAGCCUGAGAUAAAAGGGACAAAGGGGAACAGAGAUAAAGGCCACCAGGUCACCCGCCGACCGGCCCAGGGAGCGCGGCGUGGCGGAGCCCUCGAAUGCCUGGCCAGGCAUGGAGCCAGCUGCCCGGGAACCAGGUUUGCAAAAGCCCCAGGAUUUGCGUACAGUGUGGUGACUGACACACGCUCCUCCCGGAUAUAAAGCCCCAAACCACGCCACUUCUUAGGAAGAACUAAAACCACCAUUAACUGCAAAACCCCACCUCCUCUUCCUCUCUUUCUGCUUAAUUCCCUUCCUAGCAAACUGAGAAAGGGUGAGACGUGCCGUCCCAAAGCAGCUUCAGAAAACGGCCCCUUUGGGGGCCUGGGAUUUGAGCUACCAAACGGGAUCCUCCUUCUCACCGGAUGUCUUUUCUGGGCUUGGAAACUGGCACUAUCUUCAGAAAGUUCUCAUCUGAUGGAUGUUUAUUUCUUAAAGUCUGUGGACACUUGAUGGACCUUGAGUGUCUUCCAGGGAGCCCAGAGUGCAGUUCUUAACAGGUAAUAUGAUGACAUAAUCACUCUGAAGCAAUUUGGUGUAUGGGCAGGUCUGUUGGAAGCCUGUCCUGAAGAUAACAUGGUCCUCACUAAAUCAUCCAGAUUAAUGUGUGGUUGGCUAAAUGACAUCAUUUUCUUACAUGUGUUAUUUUCCUCAUGUAACCUUUGCUUGAAUUCUCAUCUGACAUUUCAAUUCUAGAUGUGACUAUUUGGGAAAUUAAUUUAUUGCCAUAACCAGACAAGAAUGUUUCCAUAUAGUCUUUGUUCUUAAAUAUUAGGAGUGAAUUUGCAUCAAAGAUGGACAAAAUGCAGAAAAUUAAAUUGAUUUUUAAGUGUUGACUCAUUUAAAACAAAGACCUAAAUUAAAAAUCAUAAGCAAAAAAUACUUCAAAUAUGUAAUAUUCUGUGGAAACAAAUAUUGCUAGAGAUGAUAAAAAAGCCACUUCCUACUAACAAAUUGAUCUUCAUUUGAGAAACAAAAACAAAAAAACUACUAAAUGGGCUUCUUGCCAAGAGGCCCAGGUUAAAGUACAAAAGAUUGCAAUGUUUGAUCAACCGAUGAAGUUUGUUACAAUGAACCUAAUUAUACUUGUUCACAAUAUAUUUUUAACUCCAAUUAUUUUAAAACUGUUAAAAUGAUGUUUAUUUGUUUGUUUUUCAUUUCUUUUCUUGGCCUGGAUUCUUCUAACUGCUAAUUAUUAUCCAAAAUACAUGACAAAAAUUAAUAAUAAUAUGCAAGUCUCUGAAAGUUUUCAAUGACAUGAGAGACUUUGUUUUGCUCUGUUUUAGGUCUCGGUCCUGUCAUUUGCAGCACAUGACUGAUUUGUUUAUUGGCACUCACUAAUUGGUCUUUAGCCUAUAUUCUAAAUAUUUCUACAAAAAAACAAAUUCUAAAUUUUGCUCUUCUCAACUUUGUACUGAAUACAUUACAACCUCCCAAGUACCUAUUCACAUAACCAUGUGCUGUUAGUUAACCUCUGGACUACUAUGUGGAGUAUUUUAAUACUUAACUCAAACCAUUAUUGUAUGUAGGAAAAGAGGUUCUCUUGUUGGAAAAAACUACUGUCAAAUGUUGUGAGGAUUAAAGUGUAUAUAUAAAGUGUCUAAUGUAAGAGCACAUAGCAGAUAGUAGAUGGAAGACUAUGGAGAUGUGUAUAUGUAUGUUUUCAUGUAUUUCUCAAGCACAGUGCUUUAUGCUUAUUUCUUUUUCCAACGCCUACCACAAUACCCUAAAAUAACACUAAUGAUGAUUAUGGCAUUGGUCUGAAUUUCAAAUCAGAAACUUUUGCUUCUUUUCAUGAAAAAGAUGCAAGCACUCAGAAGAGAAUUUUUUCUUCCUACCAUCAAAGCUACUAGCCCACCCUUAUAUCAAUACAUAAACUUUGCCUUCUCUCCUGUUAUAGCAAGUGAACUUUCUAAGCUUUUUUCCAAGGCCAACCCUCUAUCCUCUCUUGCCUUCUUAAGGUCUUUGUUCCCAUCAGUUUUCCUCUCUGUAUUAGAUCAUUCCCUUGAGCAGAAAACAUUAUCUCUAUCUUUUAAGAGUGCUUUUGACUCUGUAUCUCCUUGAAGCUACUACCCUAUUCUUAGGCUUCUCUUUUGUAACAAAUUUCUUGGAAGAGUUACCUAUAAUUGCUUUCAUCACUUCUUUACCUUCCAUUCUCUAAUGGCACUCAUUCUGGUCAAACUCCACUCUACUCCACUCCCCAGAAACUGCUGUUGCAAUGUAACUUAUUGUGCUUUAUUUUUUUUUCAUUGCAAAUAAUACCAUAGGACCCUUUCUUAAUUUGAAAGCUAUUGUCUGUCUUCCUCAUUGGAAGUCAAGCUUCAAAGGACAGGGAAUUGCUGUGUUUUUUUACUACCAUUCUCCCAUCCAUGGCACUCAGUAAGACCUCAGUGAAAGCUUUGUCCAAAUGAUGUAAUACAUUGACUUUUAGAUUUUUAAUUACAUGCAGUAUAUAAAAUUUCCAUUGGGAUUUCAGCAUUCUUUAUUUAUGGAUGCUACAAAUUUUGCAAGAAUUUUGUUACAAUUUUGCAAGGAUUUGAAGAUUACUAAAAUAAAAGGUUUUAUAUAGUGCAUAUUUUGCAAGCAUGUAUCAUCACUAUUAUUUUAUCCCAAGGUAAGCAAUGAUGUUUUACUUUGUAGUAUACCGUCCAUAGCUAUUAGCUGAUAUUAAUCUUAUUUUAUGUACUGGGAAAGGAGGUUUGUAACUUAUAUCUUAGAGAUCUGGAAAUUAAGGCACUUAAGAGCCAAGAGCCCUUCCUGUGACAUCUAACUGCAUAAAUGAUGAAAUGCAGACUAGUAUAAAGCUUUUGAUUAUCUAAUUAGUUUAAUUUCCACUAGCAUCCCCCAUUACCAACCCCACCUCAUAAUUUCAUUGACACUUAAGUUAUUAUCAUAAUUAUAUUAAAUGGAAAAAAACUUCCUCCUGGAUGUUAAGGCAAUUUAUACAUGAAGAAUAUGAAAUCAGAGAUAUUACACAAGUAAAUGAAAUAGGUAUUACUUUCACAUUUCAACACUCUGAUGAGUAGGAGAAAUUCAACAUAAUGCACUGAGUAAAAAGAUAAAAUUAAGGAGCACCGUUAAAUGUGUUCAUAAAAUGCAUUAUCAUGUUCAAAGGGGAUUACGAUCACCUUAGUCUAUGGUGUUAUAUUUGCAGUAAACAGCCAUCUGUGUCCACAUAAACAUGUCUUUUCCAUUUUCCCGUGGCCCUUUUUAUCAGUAGUAAACAGUAACUAAACAGCAAGAUAAGGCAGCAUGUUAAAUACACCAAAACUUUGCUAACUGAAGAUACCAGGGAUUCAUUGUUAUACUUGAACACUAUUUCAAGCUAUUUUUCAGAAAUGGAGUAACAGGAACAGCAUGUUAAUUAUCCAUGUAUAUUCACAAUAAAACAAUUUUAUGAAUACUUUAUUUUCAUACUGCCACUAAAUUCAUCUUUUUAAAAAUAGGUCUUACCUACUGAUUUCUUAAAGAAAAUAGAUACAAGAAAUUUCAAGGACAAAAGUGAUAUUAGACGUAACAAUGCAAAAGUGAUUUUAAAUAUACGUUUGUAGGCUACUUGAUCACCUUCAACUAUCAACCCACGGCUCAACAGUCUCAGGGUUAUCCUUCUACUAGAUCUCUCAGCAGCAUUUGGCAUCGGUUAACCUCCCCCCUCCUUCUUGUCUUCCACAAAACCAUUGCUGCCGGGUUUUCCUUCUAUUUCUCCACACUCCUUAUCUGUCUGUUUCAUUGGGUUAAGUAUUAGUCCUGUUAGGGUUAGUCCUGUUAAAUGUUAGUGUCUCUCCAAUCUCUGUUCUAGGCCCUCUUCUCCACAUUCUGCACAUACUUCUUGAACAAUCUUACCCCUUCACUGUGUUUCAAUUACUUCAUAUGAUCAGGCUAUGGUUCCUAAACUCACUACAGUAGUGUCAGUUCUGAACACCAGUUCUGUACCCCAGUAGCCACUUGAUAUCCCUGCAAGGAUGUCUUAAAGUAUCUCAAGAAUUCAACAUUUGCAGGCCCAUCCUGUUGCCUGAGCCAAAAAUAUGGUCACUAAAGUAGACUCUACUUAUGCCCCUUGUCAUAUCCGCUCAGCCCACCCCUGACUCCCUUUCACUUCAGGUCAUUGUCUCUGAUUUCCUGCCUCAGGGCUUUCACCAAAAUUCUAAGAAUUGGCUCAACAGGAGACAGAUACCACUCAAUCACAGAGGAAUUAACAACCCUGGAGGCAACCCUAAACCAAAGGGAGGUGAGAGUCAGAGAACAAAGGCCUGGCCCCCCAUGUUUCAGAAGACACUGUUGAAGAGCUUUCAGCAUGGAUUCUCACAGGGUCCCAUUCAAGAUUGUGCCCUGGUUUUUUACAACAAAAAACAAUGCAGUAUUGUACUCUUUAUUGGCUCAAGCCCCCCCUUCCCUGACCGACUCUCCCUGUUCUCUCAUUCUGACUUCUUGUAAUCACCUCUAGAAUUAACCUCCUCUGUACCCUAGUCCUUGACUCUGCCUUGCUUCAGGGGGAACCCACACUAACAGUCUCUCCCUUGUCUUCCUCCUUUAUCCAUCAUAUCUGGUCAUCAAUCAUCAGGUACUGUUGAUUCCAACCCUGACUUUAUCCUACUGUUAGGUCACCAUGGACUCUUUUUACCUGAAUAAUGCUAUAAACAACAACUGAUCUCCCUGCCUUUGGAAUUGCCCAUCACCCCUCACCAAAUUACUCUCCACUGGGAAGUCAGAGUGUAUUUUCUAAACAGACUCUGUGAUCCUAUUUACAUGCUCAUAAAAACCUUCCAUUAUUCCCCAUUGCCUUUAGCAUAUUGUUCUUAACAUGUUUUGUAACUAACCUAGCCCUGGUUUUCCUCCCCAGCCCCAUCUCUCAGCCUUCCUAUGUCACAUGGCAAGUUACUCAUAUUGAGCUUUUGGGUUCCUGACCAGCAUCAAGGUCGGUCAUUUCAGGGCCUCUUCACAAGCAUCUCUCUCCUCUCAGAUGCUCUUUUCUUCCCUCCUCAUCAUCACUUCCACUCAUCUCUACCAUUCCUAGUUUAGAUGGCACUUACCCUUGUAACCUCUUCUGAUGUUAUUUUUGGGAAAGUGCCCCUCCUAUGUAUUCUUAAAACAUAUUGCUCUGUAUUUUAAUUGCCUAUUAAUUUGUUUAUGUCCUCCACUCAGUUAUGCUUUUUGAGGGUUUCUAUUUCUCAUUGUGUCCUAAGUACUGAAUAUAUUUUAGAUAUUCAAUAAAUAUUGGUAGAAUAAA